GACGAACGCUGGCGGCGUGCUUAACACAUGCAAGUCGAACGGUAAGGCCCUUCGGGUACGACGAGUGGCGAACGGGUGGAGUAACACGUGGGUGAUCUGCCCUGCACUUUGGGAUAAGCCUGGGAAACUGGGUCUAAUACCGAAUAUGACCUCGGACUUCACGGUUUGUGGUGGAAAGCUUUUGCGGUGUGGGAUGGCCCGCGGCCUAUCAGCUUGUUGGUGGGGUAAUGGCCCUACCAAGGCGACGACGGGUUAGCCGGCCUGAGAGGGUGUCCGGCCACACUGGGACUGAGAUACGGCCCAGACUCCUACGGGAGGCAGCAGUAGGGAAUAUUGCACAAAUGGGCGCAAGCCUGAUGCAGCGACGCCGCGUGGGGGAUGACGGCCUUC
rnacentral:rRNA from 1 species